GACGAACGCUGGCGGCGUGCUUAACACAUGCAAGUCGAACGGAAAGGCCCUGCUUUUGUGGGGUGCUCGAGUGGCGAACGGGUGAGUAACACGUGAGUAACCUGCCCUUGACUUUGGGAUAACUUCAGGAAACUGGGGCUAAUACCGGAUAGGAGCUCCUGCUGCAUGGUGGGGGUUGGAAAGUUUCGGCGGUUGGGGAUGGACUCGCGGCUUAUCCGCUUGUUGGGGGGGUAGUGGCUUACCAAGGCUUUGACGGGUAGCCGGCCUGAGAGGGUGACCGGCGACAUUGGGACUGAGAUACGGCGCAGACUCCUACGGGAGGCAGCAGUGGGGAAUAUUGCACAAUGGGCGGAAGCGUGAUGCAGCAACGCCGCGUGCGGGAUGACGGCCUUCGGGUUGUAAACCGAUUUGGCAUGUGACGAAGCGUGAGUGACGGUAAUGGGUAAAGAAGCACCGGCUAACUACGUG
rnacentral:rRNA from 1 species